rnacentral:rRNA from 1 species
AUUGAACGCUGGCGGCAGGCCUAACACAUGCAAGUCGAACGAGUGGCGGACGGGUGAGUAAUGUCUGGGAAACUGACUGGUGGAGGGGGAUAACUACUGGAAACGGUAGCUAAUACCGCAUACCAUCAGAUGGGCCCAGAUGGGAUUAGCUAGUUGGUGGGGUAACGGCUAACAAGGGCGACGAUCCCUAGCUGGUCUGAGAGGAUGACCAGCCACACUGGAACUGAGACACGGUCCAGACUCCUACGUGAGGCAGCAGUGGGGAAUAUUGCACAAUGGGCGCAAGCCUGAUGCAGCCAUGCCGCGUGUAUGAAGAAGGCCUUCGGGUUGUAAAGUACUUUCAGCUGGGAGGCGUUACCCGCAGAAGAAGCACCGGCUAACUACGUACCAGCAGCCGCGGUAAUUC